ACGAGCGCAUUGGAGCGGUUGUGCUGCACGCGGGGACGAACGACACCAGGCUGCGGCAGAUGGAGGUUCUGAAGAGGGACUUCUCCAGCCUGAUCGAGACGGUACGAGGCAGAUCACCCACCGCGAAGAUCAUCGUCUCUGGACCUCUUCCCACAUACAGCAGAAAAGUUCAGUAGACUUCUAGCAUUAAAUGAUUGGUUAGUCUCUUGGUGUAAUGAGCAGAAUCUGGUGUUUGUCAAUAACUGGAAUCUGUUCUGGGAGCGUCCUAGGUUGUUUCGUCCUGAUUGUCUGCACCCCAGCAGCCUUGGAGCGGAACUGCUUUCAGACAACAUUUCCAAGGCGCUACACUCCAAGUGACUGUCUACCCUCUUGCCUGGCGUCCCACUGAAGAUAAGCAGCGUUGAGCCUGGCCAGUACUGGGAGACCUCCUGGGGAAAACUAAGCUUGCUGAUGGAAGUGUGACCAGCGUGUGCAGAAAGCGCAGGACCUGGUCCAGGCCGAGUCACAGCUGCACAGCCUCAUGAUGGACAGCGUUAAUCAGAACUCAGGACCCAGUUGGCUCCCGCUGUCAUGGCAACAGGGCCCAGACCAACACACGACGAUGGAGGAUGCCAAAACCACGCCACCCUGCCAUAACCUCAGCCCACCUGCUGUGGUGGAUCUCACCCAAUCAGGAUCAGAUGAGCUGGAGAUGAUGAGCAUGGAUGGAAGGAUGGAGGUGAAGGAUGAGUAUGUGAUGGAUUUAUCUACACAGGUAACAGGACAGUGAUUUUGGACAAGUGUUUAAGAGCAUAAAUGAUGAGGAGCGUUUAAUCAUAGAGGAGAAAUCCGAUCAUAGACACUCACUCAAAUCAGACCUUGCACAUUUCUCCUUUUCAAGCAAUCAGAUUCAUCUGUAGUUCUGUUUGGAAUUGAGUCAAACUUACCAAAAGCAUUAUCAGAGGGGGACUUUGAUUCAAAAGCCUGCAUCGAGUUUGAUGCUGAUGCAUCUAAACCUCUGCCAUUGGAGCUAUAGAUGAAUCUGACCCCACACCCAACAAUGAUAGUGGUAGGCAGAAGUCAGUAUAUUUCACUGCAACAGACGAGUCCUUGCUCUGCCCCACCAAGAAAAAAAAACUGCAAGUCAUCUAUAAUGGUGAGGAAGAGGGGCAUGAAGAAGAAGAGGUGGAGAAACCUGUUUUGGCUAGCAGUCCAUUAGCUCGCAGCUUCACCUCAGAUCUUCCACACCCAAAUCCAUGCUGAAUAAUGGCACCAACCGCAGAUGCAGCAUAAACACAUCAAUCGCAUCACGAUGCUCAUGAGUAGAGUCACAGCUGCAGGAUAUGGAGGAGGAAGAGGAGGAACCAGAGACGAAAGAGGAAAAAUUAGAGGAGUGGGAGGAGCCAGAGGACGAGCCAGAGCCUAGUGAACACAUGGUUGAGUGCGAGGAGGAAGAGGAAGGUGAUGGUAAAGAGCUUCACUGAUGUUCAACUGGCCUCUAGUGAAGUUGUGCAUCAGUGUGCAUCCACUGAAGUGCAGAGUCCAAAUGAUGUCAAACAUCAAGAGGAAUCGUUUGAUUCACUGGUGCAUUCUGGGAAACAGUGUUUGUCUGAAGGGAGGAAACAGGAAGCACUGGACUUUUUUCUGAAGGCCAUUGACAUUAACACUGGAGACAGUGAGAUACAACUGCUCAUCAGCUUACUGUACAGACACCCGAGUCACUGACACACACACACACACACCUGCUCAUCAUCCAACCAUACAGACACAGUCACUGACACACACACAGUGUGUGGGUGGGUCUUCCAGCUAAAGUGGUUUAGAAUUAGGCCUAGAUUUGAGGAAUGCUGUAUGGUGCGUGCUCUAUGCCAUAUGAGGAGUUUUGUACAUCAAAGCAAGCACUUAUCAUGUUUGGGGACACAAGCUCCGCCUGCUUGCCCUUUAUGUAUGUUAUACAACAUGGCUAAAUUUUUUUUUGACUUUUUCUUCAAUUAAAGCACUGAGAUGAACAGCCACAUCUGUUUCAGAUUCAUAUUUACACUUACUCUUGCACUAUUAACACUAAAUCCCAUUACCUGUAUUUAUGAAUAUUAACAUUUGCUAUUUUCAUUACUUAUGCUACUCCAAUUAAUAAUCUUGCUGUUCAUAUUGUUAUUUAAUAAUAUAACUGUCAAUCCAGCAUCUAAAAUUCUCACACCCCAACCAGACAUCCC